rnacentral:rRNA from 1 species
UACAGAGGUCCCAAGCGUUGUUCGGAUUUACUGGGCGUAAAGGGUGCGUAGGCGGUCGGGUAAGUCUGAUGUGAAAUCUCCUCGCUCAACGGGGAGAGGCCAUUGGAAACGGUCGGGCUGGAGGGCAGUAGAGGCAGGCGGAAUUCCGGGUGGAGUGGUGAAAUGCGUAGAGAUCCGGAGGAACACCAGAGGCGAAGGCGGCCUGCUGGGCUGCACCUGACGCUGAACCGCGAAAGCCAGGGGAGCGAACGGG